rnacentral:rRNA from 1 species
UGCCAGCCGCCGCGGUAAGACGAGGGGUCCUAGCGUUGCUCGGAAUCAUUGGGCGUAAAGCGGGUGUAGGUGGCUUUGUAAGUCAGAAGUGAAAGCCCCAGGCUCAACCUGGGAAGUGCUUUUGAUACUGCAGAGCUUGAGUGUGGGAGAGGAUGGCGGAAUUCCUGGUGUAGUGGUGAAAUACGUAGAUAUCAGGAGGAACAUCGGUGGCGAAGGCGGCUAUCUGGCCCAACACUGACACUCAGACCCGAAAGCGUGGGGAGCAAACAGGAUUAGAUA